CCGCCGCCGCCGCCGCCGCCGCCCGCCUCUGCCCAACAUGGCGAUGCACAACAAGGCGGCGCCGCCGCAGAUCCCGGACACCCGGCGGGAGCUGGCCGAGCUGGUGAAGCGGAAGCAGGAGCUGGCGGAAACACUGGCAAACUUGGAAAGACAGAUCUAUGCUUUUGAAGGAAGCUACCUGGAAGACACUCAGAUGUAUGGCAAUAUUAUUCGUGGCUGGGAUCGGUAUCUGACCAACCAGAAAAACUCCAAUAGCAAAAAUGAUCGAAGGAACCGGAAGUUUAAGGAAGCUGAGCGGCUCUUCAGUAAAUCCUCGGUUACUUCAGCAGCUGCAGUAAGCGCAUUGGCGGGAGUUCAGGACCAGCUCAUUGAAAAGAGGGAGCCAGGAAGUGGGACAGAAAGUGAUACAUCUCCAGACUUCCACAAUCAGGAAAAUGAGCCCAGCCAGGAGGACCCCGAGGAUCUGGAUGGAUCUGUGCAAGGAGUGAAACCUCAGAAGGCUGCUUCUUCCACUUCCUCAGGGAGUCAUCACAGCAGCCAUAAAAAACGAAAGAAUAAAAACCGGCACAGGUAUGUAUAUUAGGUUAGGCUGGGAAGUUUUUUUUAAAAACAGAAAAACGUGAUGGAGGAUUGAUCUGAAGUUAAACAAAAAACCAAGAGCUGACUAUUAGAAGACUCAUUAGUACAGAAGCUUCCAGGCUAUAGAGCCCUGCUUCCCUUAUCCGACCUCACAAAGAUAAACAUCUCCCAUCUGACUGCGUGGCCAUCUACAUCUGCUUUCCUCCACCCAGUGCCUGUGACUUUAGUUUGUUCUGAAAUGUGGUGACAGAAAAAGUCAUUUCCAUAAGACCAGGCCGGAUCAUUUACUUUGGGUCAUUUUUAGUAACAACUGCAGCAAGACCGAGACAUGGUUAUAAUCCCAGCAAGUUGCUAACUGUGCAUUUCCCCCUUCUUGGAGUGAACGCCUCCCCAGUGUGGUUGGCAUCAGCUUCAUCUGUGAUACGCAUCCGAAACUUCACUGGCUUUGUUGUGUGCUGAAAAUAGAACACAAGUUGCAUUUCAGAUGGCGGCUGUAAAUAUCUGGCAUUUUCUUUGUGUUUUAUUAUUUUUCUAUUGUUUUUACCAUCUUAUUUUCUUUUGGGACUUUUUAUAAUGCCGUUGUACAGCUCAUACCUUCCUGCUGACAUAUCUGAUAAUCUGUUUUGUGAAGUUGCCAAUAUUCUUAACUGAAAAUACUCUGGUUUUCCAUAAAUAAAAAGGAGAACUUUGCUA